AUUGAACGCUGGCGGCAUGCUUUACACAUGCAAGUCGAACGGCAGCGCGGGCUUCGGCCUGGCGGCGAGUGGCGAACGGGUGAGUAAUGCAUCGGAACGUGCCCAGUAGUGGGGGAUAGCCCGGCGAAAGCCGGAUUAAUACCGCAUACGACCUGAGGGUGAAAGCGGGGGACCGAAAGGCCUCGCGCUAUUGGAGCGGCCGAUGUCGGAUUAGCUAGUUGGUGGGGUAAAGGCUUACCAAGGCGACGAUCCGUAGCUGGUCUGAGAGGACGACCAGCCACACUGGGACUGAGACACGGCCCAGACUCCUACGGGAGGCAGCAGUGGGGAAUUUUGGACAAUGGGGGCAACCCUGAUCCAGCCAUGCCGCGUGCGAGAAGAAGGCCUUCGGGUUGUAAACCUCUUUUGUUCGGGAAGAAAUCCUCUGGGCUAAUACCCCGGGGGGAUGACGGUACCGGAAGAAUAAGCACCGGCUAACUACGUG
rnacentral:rRNA from 1 species